CCGACUGAAGACGCCCUCCGUCAGCGACGCCGUCGCAAUGGCCAUUUGUCAAUUCUUCCUUCAAGGCCGGUGCCGCUUUGGAGAUCGGUGCUGGAACGAACAUCCCGGUGCUAGGGGUGCAGGAGGAGGACGGCAGCAACCGCAGCAGCAGCCUUCAGGUAAUAAUAGACGUGGAUGGAAUACAACUAGCCAGAGAUAUUCCAAUGUCAUCCAGCCAUCCAGUUUCUCCAAAUCCACACCAUGGGGGGGCAGCAGAGAUCAAGAAAAGCCAUAUUUCAGUUCUUUUGAUUCUGGAGCUUCAACUAACAGGAAGGAAGGCUUUGGAUUGUCUGAGAACCCAUUUGCUUCACUUAGUCCUGAUGAGCAGAAAGAUGAAAAGAAACUUCUGGAAGGAAUUGUAAAAGAUAUGGAGGUUUGGGAAUCAUCAGGGCAGUGGAUGUUUUCUGUUUAUUCACCAGUGAAAAAGAAACCUAAUAUUUCAGGUUUUACAGACAUUUCACCAGAGGAAUUGAGGCUUGAAUACCAUAACUUCUUAACCAGCAAUAACUUACAGAGUUAUUCAUGAUCAUGCAUUUCAACUAGUACAUGUAUUCACCGCCCAUCCAAAUAUAACUAACUACGUG
rnacentral:sRNA from 1 species